rnacentral:rRNA from 1 species
UACGAAGGGGGCUAGCGUUGUUCGGAUUUACUGGGCGUAAAGCGCACGUAGGCGGGUCGUUAAGUCAGGGGUGAAAUCCCGGAGCUCAACUCCGGAACUGCCUUUGAUACUGGCGACCUUGAGGCUGGAAGAGGUUAGUGGAAUUCCCAGUGUAGAGGUGAAAUGCGUAGAUAUUGGGAGGAACACCAGUGGCGAAGGCGGCUCACUGGACCGGUACUGACGCUGAUGCGCGAAAGCGUGGGGAGCAAACGGG